UGUUUCUUUAGACUGACCUGUGUCACC
rnacentral:piRNA from 1 species